rnacentral:rRNA from 1 species
GACGAACGCUGGCGGCGUGCUUAACACAUGCAAGUCGAACGGGAUCCACUGGGCUUUUGUUUGGUGGUGAGAGUGGCGAACGGGUGAGUAAUGCGUGACUAACCUGCCGUAUGGUUGGGGAUAGCUCCUGGAAACGGGUGGUAAUACCCAAUGCUCCAGCUGGAUGCAUGUCUGGUUGGGAAAGCUUUUGUGCCAUAUGAUGGGGUCGCGUCCUAUCAGCUUGUUGGUGGGGUGAUGGCCUACCAAGGCGUCGACGGGUAGCCGGCCUAAGAGGGCGACCGGCCACAUUGGGACUGAGAUACGGCCCAGACUCCUACGGGAGGCAGCAGUGGGGAAUAUUGCACAAUGGGCGCAAGCCUGAUGCAGCGACGCCGCGUGCGGGAUGGAGGCCUUCGGGUUGUAAACCGCUUUUAUAGGGGGGCAAGCUAUGCCUGUGUGGUGUGGUGAGUGGACUUUAUGAAUAAGC